UAAUACGGAGGGUGCGAGCGUUGUCCGGAAUCACUGGGCGUAAAGGGCGCGUAGGCGGCGCGGUAAGCGGGCGGUGAAAGCCCGGGGCUCAACCCCGGGUCGGCCGUGCGGACUGCCGUGCUGGAGCACUGUAGAGGCGGGUGGAAUUCCGGGUGUAGCGGUGGAAUGCGUAGAGAUCCGGAAGAACACCGGUGGCGAAGGCGGCCCGCUGGGCAGUGGCUGACGCUGAGGCGCGACAGCGUGGGGAGCAAACAGGAUUAGAUACCCUGGUAGUCCACGCCGUAAACGAUGGGCACUAGGUGCCUGGGGGAGCGACCCCCCGGGUGCCGGCGCUAACGCAUUAAGUGCCCCGCCUGGGGAGUACGGCCGCAAGGCUG
rnacentral:rRNA from 1 species